UCUUUCUUCUUCUCUGUUAUUCCUCUGUUCUUCUUCUGUUCGAGAUUUAGCGAAAAAAGGAGUUCUAAGAUCAUGAGGUUUAAAGAAAUAUCAAGACGCGACUGUUGGUAGUGUUGUGGAUGUCGAUCUGUUGUGAGGAGGAGGAUAAGAAGUGAUGUUCAUAGAGAAUCAAGAGAUUAGGGUUUGAGAUUUGAUUAUUGUUCUAAAGAUUUAAAAAGGUAUAGAGCUAUGGAUAGAUGAAGAACGAACUGGUUGGUGUUUAAUUAACGAUCUGAGGUUGUUUUGAGGCUGGAUUGAAAAGUUAGGGUUUUAUAAGAAGUUCAAGAAGAAUCAGAAGAUGAAAUUGAUAAUUUAGAAGAUUGAUUUGAGAUGGGUUUUAACAGUUUAGGGUUCGGAUGAAAAGUAAUUAGAAAUUGAAGAAGUCAGGGUUCUGAAGCUGGAUUGAUUGAAGCUCAUGACUGAAUCUGUUAACAGAGUGAGGGUUUGAUUGCGUUGGUAAGAAGGUGUUGAAGCUAUUUUUGGUGUGGAUUCAAGACUCGAGAAGAAAGGGCCGGAAGGUGGUGAUGUUACAUAGUCUCAGUUGUAGGUGCAUGGGAUGGAGGUUAUAGUUGUUUUGAAGAUGAUGUUUGAGAUAUCGUGAAGGUUUAAUGUCCUGGUCUGGUAAUGGAAGAAUUGGUUAAUUGGUUCUGUUGUUGAGACUGAUAUUGAAUUACAGAUGAAGUUAGAGUUAGUUUUGUGGUGUGUUUGGUUACUAUAAGAUUUAGUCAGUUGCAGUCUGGUGGGUGUGAAAAUGGUGGAUGUCUGGAAGUGGAAUUGAAGGUGGUAAUGUUUUUGUGUGGGAAUUGAUUUGGUUGGUUUGUAGUUCUGAAGCUAGAGGUGUUCACUUGUGAUUCAGUUAUGGUCGAGUUGAAGAUGAAACUACAUGAAUCAAAAAAUGCUGAAUUUGUUCUGGUGGUGUUGUGGAUUGAUGAUAUUAUAUGAAAGGGAGGUUGAUUUGAAUGAAUUGAGUUUUAGAUGAAUGGUAUGUUAAUUGCAGGUGGUAUAUAAGGAUGAAGGUGUUGUCUGUGUAGUGAAAUUUGAGAUGGAGAUGUAGUUGUAAAGAAGAUGUUGUUAGAAUGGAAAUGGUGCUGUUUUGUUGGCGGAAGUUCAUGGGGAAUGAGUGUAGGUCUGGAAAGUAAUAUUGAAGAGUGUUGCUUAAGUUGAAUUAGAUGUUGCUUAAAGCUGUCAUCCCAGGUAAACUGGGUUUAAUGUUGUUAUUUGAGUUAUGGAGUAUUUUUUUUUGAUUGAAUGUGUUAUAAUGAUUUUGUAGACAUAGAAUUUGUCUAGUAAUGUAAAUGAAGAAGUAAGUAUUGUAGAGUUAA